UAACGGUUAACAGGUGUUUAAGUUUUGGGUUUUUAUAUUGAAAAUUAUUAAUUAUUAUUUACUAACUUGUCAACUUUUAUAAUUAAAUUAAAAAUUAUUCAAAAUUGCCCGUUGAAAGUCGCGUCGAAAUUAUAGCUUUAAUGCGUGUUUUUAAUGCAUGUGAAUUUUUGCAGCGAUUACUGUAUUUUGUAAUUGAAAUUCAACAAAAAUAAAAAAAAAACAAUUUCAUUUGAUGUUGCUUUAAUAGUUGAAAUAAUUUAAUUUAGUUUGGAAGUGAAUCAGCUUAAACGAUAAUCCAUUGAUGAUAUUGGUGCAGUGUAAGUAAAAGAAGCUCUUGGUGUUGUGCUUCUCAUACAAACACGGCAUCUUGAGAUUUUAUUGUGAACAUAAGCUGGAUCAAUAGUUUCAGAUAUUGGUCGACUAAACGUCCUGUUGGAAGAUUGAUCUAAUGCUGCCAACCAGAAACUGGUUGAUGUUGUGUAAUAAUUACAUCGACCAACACCAUGACAUUCAAUGAAAGGUUGAGGACGGAAAUCUUCCAAGCAAGAGCCAGGAGAGUUAAGAGGUUGACCACUUCCACCUGGACCAGCAUCAGUGUUCAUAACAAAACUGUAUCCAAUCCAAAGACUUUCCCAAUUGUUUGGACAAUCUGGUGGAUUAUUUGUUUGACUGUGCAUUGCAAUAACUUGGGUACGAGCUUCACAAACAGUACAUCGGGAAAUGUACUCAUUAAUCUUUUGUCCCACAACUGGAGUUCCUGAGACAGGCUUAGGG